UGCCUCUACUAGCCUGACCUCUGCCUACUUCAGUUCUGGGGAUUUACCGAGUCUCUGCAAACACGUGAAAAGGCAAAUCGUUUGGGGGUUUUUGGUAAAUAACCCUUUUCUUCCUUUCUUUCUUCUCCAGUACCAGGGACCUAACGCAGGGUGUUGCGCUUGCCAGGCAGAUGUGGUGAAAAGGCAAAUCUUAAUAACCGCUGCAACUUUUACCAGCUUCCUCACUUCAGGUUUCCGGGAUGCCUCCCCCCUCCCCCGGCUCCCACAGGAGCCAACCCCCCAGUUACACAAAGCAGGGACUCCCUGGGCCAUGCAGCAGCAAUGAGCCGCACCCCAGCCUGUUGACAAACUGAGUCCCCGUUUCCACUUGAAAGUCAAGGACAGAACUUGCUUUGAGGCUGGGGGUCGGGUGGCCCCCAGGUGGCCCUCUGUGGCCCCACCAGGUGCUGAGGGUUCUGCCCUCGGACUUCCCGGCAAGCACUGCAGAGGAGGAGGUCAUAGCAGCCCCUCGGAAGCUGCCCUGCCCUGGAGCCUUCAUCUCACACCCCGCUCGACUGCCCCACGCCACCCCGCACUCUGCUUCCUGCUUGGGCUCACAGCACUUGCCCGGCCCCUUCCCCCAGAUCACCAGCCGGCC
rnacentral:lncRNA from 1 species